GACGAACGCUGGCGGCGUGCUUAACACAUGCAAGUCGAACGAAGUGGCGAACGGGUGAGUAACGCGUAAUCAACCUGCCCUUCAUAGGGGUAUACCCGUUGUAAACGACUUCUAAUACCGCAUACUGAUGGAGGGGAUUGCGUCGGAUUAGCUAGUUGGAGGGGUAACGGCCCACUAAGGCGAGGAUCGGUCGCCUGUCUGAGAGGAUGAACGGCAACAGUGGGACUGAGACACGGCCCAGAAUCCUUCGGGAGGCAGCAGUGGGGAAUCUGCCGCAAUGGACGAAAGUCUGACGGAGCAACGCCGCGUGAGUGAUGACGGCCUUCGGGUUGUAAAGCUCUGUUAAUCGGGACGCGGUACCGGAAUAGAAAGCCACGGCUAACUACGUGCCAGCAGCCGCGGUAAUAC
rnacentral:rRNA from 1 species